rnacentral:rRNA from 1 species
UACGUAGGGGGCAAGCGUUGUCCGGAUUUAUUGGGCGUAAAGAGCGUGUAGGCGGCCUGGAAGGUCAGCUGUGAAAACUCGAGGCUCAACCUCGAGACGUCGGUUGAAACCACUUGGCUAGAGUCCGGAAGAGGAGUGUGGAAUUCCCGGUGUAGCGGUGAAAUGCGCAGAUAUCGGGAAGAACACCAGUGGCGAAGGCGACUUCCUGGCCUGUUCUUGACGCUGAGGCGCGAAAGCUAGGGGAGCAAACGGG